rnacentral:rRNA from 1 species
GACGAACGCUGGCGGCGUGCUUAACACAUGCAAGUCGAACGGAAAGGCCCUGCUUUUGUGGGGUGCUCGAGUGGCGAACGGGUGAGUAACACGUGAGUAACCUGCCCUUGACUUUGGGAUAACUUCAGGAAACUGGGGCUAAUACCGGAUAGGAGCUCCUGCUGCAUGGUGGGGGUUGGAAAGUUUCGGCGGUUGGGGAUGGACUCGCGGCUUAUCAGCUUGUUGGUGGGGUAGUGGCUUACCAAGGCUUUGACGGGUAGCCGGCCUGAGAGGGUGACCGGCCACAUUGGGACUGAGAUACGGCCCAGACUCCUACGGGAGGCAGCAGUGGGGAAUAUUGCACAAUGGGCGGAAGCCUGAUGCAGAAACGCCGCGUGCGGGAUGACGGCCUUCGGGUGGUAAACCGCUUUCGCCUGUGACGAAGCGUGAGUGACGGUAAUGGGUAAAGAAGCACCGGCUAACUACGUG